rnacentral:snRNA from 1 species
GCCACAUGAUUAUUAGCAGGA